rnacentral:rRNA from 1 species
UUAAGUUAAUAAGGGCGCACGGUGGAUGCCUUGGCACUAGGAGCCGACGAAGGACGUGACAAACGACGAUAUGCCUUGGGUAGCUGUAAGUAAGCGAUGAUCCAGGGAUUUCCGAAUGGGGGAACCCAACAGGUAAUACCUGUUACCCACAUCUGUUAAGGAUGUGAGGAGGAAGACGCAGUGAACUGAAACAUCUAAGUAGCUGCAGGAAGAGAAAGCAAAAGCGAUUGCCUUAGUAGCGGCGAGCGAAACGGCAGAAGGGCAAACCGAAGAGUUUACUCUUCGGGGUUGUAGGACUGCAAUGUGGACUCAAAGAUUAUAGAAGAAUGAUUUGGGAAGAUCAGCCAAAGAGAGUAAUAGCCUCGUAUUUAAAAUAGUCUUUGUACCUAGCAGUAUCCUGAGUANNNNNNNNNNNNNNNNNNNNNNNNNNNNNNNNNNNNNNNNNNNNNNNNNNNNNNNNNNNNNNNNNNNNNNNNNNNNNNNNNNGGCGGGACACGUGAAAUCCCGUCGGAAUCUGGGAGGACCAUCUCCCAACCCUAAAUACUCCCUAGUGACCGAUAGUGAACCAGUACCGUGAGGGAAAGGUGAAAAGCACCCCGGGAGGGGAGUGAAAUAGAACCUGAAACCGUGUGCCUACAACAAGUUCGAGCCCGUUAAUGGGUGAGAGCGUGCCUUUUGUAGAAUGAACCGGCGAGUUACGUUAUGAUGCGAGGUUAAGUUGAAGAGACGGAGCCGUAGGGAAACCAAGUCUGAAUAGGGCGCCUUAGUAUCAUGACGUAGACCCGAAACCAUGUGACCUACCCAUGAGCAGGUUGAAGGUGCGGUAAGACGCACUGGAGGACCGAACCAGGGCACGUUGAAAAGUGCUUGGAUGACUUGUGGGUAGCGGAGAAAUUCCAAACGAACUUGGAGAUAGCUGGUUCUCUCCGAAAUAGCUUUAGGGCUAGCGUCGACAUUAGAGAUUCUUGGAGGUAGAGCACUGUUUGGGUGAGGGGUCCAUCCCGGAUUACCAAUCUCAGAUAAACUCCGAAUGCCAAUGAAUUAUGGUCGGCAGUCAGACUGCGAGUGCUAAGAUCCGUAGUCGAAAGGGAAACAGCCCAGACCACCAGCUAAGGUCCCAAAAUAAUUGUUAAGUGGAAAAGGAUGUGGGGUUGCACAGACAACUAGGAUGUUAGCUUAGAAGCAGCUAUUCAUUCAAAGAGUGCGUAAUAGCUCACUAGUCGAGUGACCCUGCGCCGAAAAUGUACCGGGGCUAAAACAAUUUACCGAAGCUGUGGAUACCUUUAUAGGUAUGGUAGGAGAGCGUUCUAUGUGUGAUGAAGGUAUACCGUGAGGAGUGCUGGAACGCAUAGAAGUGAGAAUGCCGGUAUGAGUAGCGAAAGACAGGUGAGAAUCCUGUCCACCGUAAGACUAAGGUUUCCAGGGGAAGGCUCGUCCGCCCUGGGUUAGUCGGGACCUAAGGAGAGACCGAAAGGUGUAUCCGAUGGACAACAGGUUGAUAUUCCUGUACUAGAGUAUGUAGUGAUGGAGGGACGCAGUAGGCUAACUAAAGCAGACGAUUGGAAGAGUCUGUCUAAGCAGUGAGGUGUGAAUUGAGUCAAAUGCUUAAUUCUAUAACAUUGAGCUGUGAUGGGGAGCGAAGUUUAGUAGCGAAGUUAGUGACGUCACACUGCCAAGAAAAGCUUCUAGCGUUUAAACAUACUCUACCCGUACCGCAAACCGACACAGGUAGUCGAGGCGAGUAGCCUCAGGUGAGCGAGAGAACUCUCGUUAAGGAACUCGGCAAAAUGACCCCGUAACUUCGGGAGAAGGGGUGCUGACUUAAAGUCAGCCGCAGUGAAUAGGCCCAAGCAACUGUUUAUCAAAAACACAGCUCUCUGCUAAAUCGUAAGAUGAUGUAUAGGGGGUGACGCCUGCCCGGUGCUGGAAGGUUAAGAGGAGUGCUUAGCGUAAGCGAAGGUAUGAAUUGAAGCCCCAGUAAACGGCGGCCGUAACUAUAACGGUCCUAAGGUAGCGAAAUUCCUUGUCGGGUAAGUUCCGACCCGCACGAAAGGCGUAAUGAUUUGGGCACUGUCUCAACGAGAGACUCGGUGAAAUUUUAGUACCUGUGAAGAUGCAGGUUACCCGCGACAGGACGGAAAGACCCCAUGGAGCUUUACUGCAGUUUGAUAUUGAGUGUCUGUACCACAUGUACAGGAUAGGUAGGAGUCUAAGAGAUCGGGACGCCAGUUUCGAAGGAGACGCUGUUGGGAUACUACCCUUGUGUUAUGGCCACUCUAACCCAGAUAGGUGAUCCCUAUCGGAGACAGUGUCUGACGGGCAGUUUGACUGGGGCGGUCGCCUCCUAAAAGGUAACGGAGGCGCCCAAAGGUUCCCUCAGAAUGGUUGGAAAUCAUUCGCAGAGUGUAAAGGUAUAAGGGAGCUUGACUGCGAGAGCUACAACUCGAGCAGGGACGAAAGUCGGGCUUAGUGAUCCGGUGGUUCCGUAUGGAAGGGCCAUCGCUCAACGGAUAAAAGCUACCCUGGGGAUAACAGGCUUAUCUCCCCCAAGAGUUCACAUCGACGGGGAGGUUUGGCACCUCGAUGUCGGCUCGUCGCAUCCUGGGGCUGUAGUCGGUCCCAAGGGUUGGGCUGUUCGCCCAUUAAAGCGGCACGCGAGCUGGGUUCAGAACGUCGUGAGACAGUUCGGUCCCUAUCCGUCGCGGGCGUAGGAAAUUUGAGAGGAUCUGCUCCUAGUACGAGAGGACCAGAGUGGACUUACCGCUGGUGUACCAGUUGUCUUGCCAAAGGCAUCGCUGGGUAGCUAUGUAGGGAAGGGAUAAACGCUGAAAGCAUCUAAGUGUGAAACCCACCUCAAGAUGAGAUUUCCCAUGAUUAUAUAUCAGUAAGAGCCCUGAGAGAUGAUCAGGUAGAUAGGUUAGAAGUGGAAGUGUGGCGACACAUGUAGCGGACUAAUACUAAUAGCUCGAGGACUUAUCCAA